rnacentral:lncRNA from 1 species
UCUCCGCCCGGCAGCCGCCCCAUCUGAGAGGUUGAACGCUCAUUGUACAACUCAGACCAACAGCACAGUGCCCUCUACUGGCCAGCCAGCAUAGCAGUGUUUUCUGCAAAGUAAACAUUUGGGGCGUGCGCCAGAUGAAGUUCAAGUUCUUCAUAAAUUAUCUAAUAAUAAUCCUCAGAGAACUGAUGUUUAAGGAAGAACUGUAAUAGCCUUAUUGCAUUUGGUUCUUGCAUAUUCACUUAUAUCCAUUUAAAAUAAAAACACAAUGUACUGGUAUUCAUUCCUAAGUAAUUCUAAAAUGUUUAGUCAUCUUUUCAUUUAAUUUACUCAUUAGUUUACCCAGAAAUCACAGAAGGAGAAUAUUAAAUUUUGUGGAGACUGGAUGCAAUUUGUAUACAACAUGUAUACAAUUUGGGAAUCUUGCUUUAAGAAAAAUACAGUAUUACGAAAACAAAAUUGGGCACAGAAGUGAAGUUUACUUAUAAUGAAAAAAACACAACAUAUUACACAUUCAUGAAGGCUGAAAAAUACAUCACGUUAUCCAGAAAACAUACUAUUUUUAUUAAAUACUAUAAUAUUAAUAUUAAUAGUCCAUAAUACUUUCCCCUCCAUAUUUUUAAUUUUAUUUGUGUGGGUAGUUUCUUAGAAAAUUUUGUAAAUAGUUUGUAUAGAAAGAACAGAUAAUUCAUUUUUCCUCUAGCAAUAAUUGAUCAAUUAUUUUUAAUUGAUCUUUUGGUAAAGCUUCUUUCAGCUCCACAACUUAUCAAUAUAUGUCAUGUAAAUUUUUAUGAUGGUUGUCAAAUUUAGAGGGAUUGCCAUGAAAUUUCCUUUGUAAGUGAAACUUAAAAUCUAGCUUCUGGCUCCACACAUUUCAAACACUGUCUCUCCAAUAUGACUCACAUACUUCAAGCAUAAUAUACCACACUGAUAUUUUGAUACUUCUAGAAAUGCUACACCAUAUCAUAACCUCAGAUGCAGAGGUGGCCAGGAAGAAUAUUUCUGGUCCUUAUUUCUAUGCUGGGAGAGCUAAAAAUUUACCUGUUCACAAAAGUGACUGCACACCAUGUAAAUACAACUCUAAACCCAACGAAAUGUUAUUUCUAACUCAACUUUCCCUUACCCAGGUCCCCAAAACAUGUCUCCUAACAGAAGAAGGAUGAGAAGGGGGAAGUUUGGGUGAAAAGACACUGUGUUCUUACCCCAAGCAAGGCUCAAGUCUAUUAAAUUAUGCAAAAAUAAUUGGCCAUGUCUACAUUGGUAAGGUCCCCCCUGGGGCCCUGGGGCAGACAUUCUGAAGCGUAAAUACCAUUAGCUCCCAGAAAAUCUGCUUCUGUGGAUAUAUGCAUCAUCUAAUACAAAUAUGUAAGUGAUUUACACAUGGUUAUUUUAAUAACAACCUAUAUACGUUUCCAUCUUUUCUCCAAGUUUAUACAAUCUUACAUAGAUGUCUCAACACACGUAUUCACACAUAAUCAGAGGGUUGCCAAAGUUCCACAAGUAUGAGACAUUAUGCCAUUUUCUGAAUUUUUUUCUUUCUCAAUAAUAUUGCAAAAUCCUUGCAAGUCAAUUGUAUAAUUCUAAUUCAUCCUUUUUAAUGGUGAUAUAAUUUUCCAUAAUUUAUUCAGCCAUUCUUCUAUGAUGAGCAUUUACUUUAUUUCCAGGCUUUGUAUGUUAUGAGACACGUCACAAUAAAGACCCAUGUUCAUAUGUCCAUGAAUACUGGUGAGUUUAAUUCUAGGAGAUCGAUUGCCUGAAGUGGAAUUAAUGAGUCUGAGGGUCAUGUGGUUGUUAAAAAUUAAACUAAAGUCCGCACUGCAUUCAGAUUUCCUAAGUUCCUACCUAAUGUCUUGUUUCUGUUCCUAGAGGAGCAUAAAUUUUAAUAUAUAGUAGACAACAUGCUAAAAGGAUUUUCAAACUUCACAUUCCUACCAGCAAUGUGUUGGUGUAUUAUUUGCAUGCAUAUUCCUGCCAGCAACAGAUAUUAACAGUUUUUUUUUACAGUACUGUCUUAUGUCAAGUAAGACAUCACUGUCACAUUAAUUUGCAUUUCCUUGACUGCUAAUCAAGUUAAAUAUAUUUUCAUACAUUUGUGAGCCAUAUCAUCUCCUCAUAUACUUUGCCCAUUUUCCCACUGGUUUGUUGAUCUUUCCAGCGUCCCUUUGCAAAGCCUCUUGGAAUUGUCUGUUAACUCUAUUUUAUAUUAUGUAGUUUACAUUUAGUAGUUUUCUAGACUACUCAUUUGUAUAUCAAGUUUUUAAUGGCACCUUUGACAUACAAAGAGGUACUGGACAUUGGAAAUGUUCCAAAAUAUUUAUAGCACCUUGGUUUAGUAUUAAGAAGUUC